UACGGAGGGUGCGAGCGUUGUCCGGAAUCACUGGGCGUAAAGCGUGCGCAGGCGGUUUUGUAAGCCAGAUGUGAAAGCCCCGGGCUCAACCUGGGAAUGGCAUUUGGGACUGCAAGGCUUGAGUGCGGCAGAGGAGACUGGAAUUCCUGGUGUAGCAGUGAAAUGCGUAGAUAUCAGGAGGAAUACCGAUGGCGAAGGCAGGUCUCUGGGCUGACACUGACGCUCAUGCACGAAAGCGUGGGGAGCAAACAGG
rnacentral:rRNA from 1 species